CCUUCUUGCUGUGUCAUGCCAUGGUGAUAAUAAAAUAAUACUUUAUAAAAAUGAAUUUGGUAGCCACAGGUAUGAUGGUUUGGGGAAGAUGAUGGAAGGGUGAUUACAAAGUUAUUGCCUUGGCUCUGGCAAUAAGAAUUGAGAACUUCAACUAGGACAAGGGCAAUGGGAAUGGAGAGAUGGGGAUGGACAGAAUGCAUGCUGUAAUGUAGCCUCAGGAUAAAGAAGUUGAAUGAGUUUGGCAUGCAGCAAUGAAGAGGAAGAAGUAAAAGGUGAACCCAACGGUACAAGCCUGGGCAACUACAAGAAUGGUGAUCCCAUCACAGAAACCAGAAAUGCGGGAGGAGUGGGUUUUGGAGUUGAGACAAUGAAAAGAAAUGUUAUAGAUACUAUAGAUAGACUAUUACUAAUAUUUUAGAUAAGUUAAACAAACAAAAAAAGUUCAGUGAAGUUUUGAACACAAAAUCCUGAAGACAAGAGGUUUCAAAUGUUGUAGUGAGUUGUGAAGGAUAAGUUAGAAGGAAAUGCCUACCUAGCCACACUGGAAAGGAAGUUUGGUUUCCAAAUCAUCUCAAUCCAUCGGCUCAAGCAGAUGAGGAAGCUGAGACCUGGGUCACAUGCCUGAAGGCUUUCUGAAUCUAAGUGGACCCCAUUUCAGCUCAACUUAAGGACCUCAAUCCUCUGCUGCUUACAAUUGUCCCUUUGCUCCUUGCCGUGCUCUCCUGUUGUUGAUAUUUUCAUUUCAGCCAUUCAAAUUGAAUAUUUAGAAGAAGGAGCACAAGAAAGAGGACACCCUUAACAGAAAAGUUAUUCAUUUCCAAUUUAAGACUCAUCAAGGGAUAAAAUCUGAAAACUUAUAAAGGAUACUUAUUACAGAAAAAAUUUAAGGGGAAACUGGUGCUGUGGAGAGACCCAUGUGGAAAGGAACUGAGGACUCCCGGCAAAAGUCACCAAGGACCGAGGUUGCUGACAGCUGCAUGUGAACUCGGAAGCAGAUCAAUCCUUGCCCAAGCCCACACUUUGUCUACAGCCUUGGUGAGAGACCCUGAGCCAGGGAUGCACAUCCAAGCUGCACCCAAACUCUUGACCCACAGAAACUGUGAGAUGAUGAAUGUGUUUAAGCCCCCAUAUUGUGGAGUCAUUUAUUACACAGCAAUAGAUGGCUAAGAUGAGCACUAUUUUUAUCCCCUUGUGAGUUCAUGGCUUGGUCUCCCUACCUCCCACUGACUAAAUGUGGCUAAAGCAAAAUCCAAUAACCAGCUGUCUCUGAACAAUAUUAACUGAAUGCCUACUGUUUACUAGCAUGACAGGAAUUCAAAAGAGUUUAUGAGGGAAAUGGCCACAGUGAGGCAGAGGAUUUACAUGCUGGGAAGGCUUCAUCCUGGCAAAUUACCCAGGGCAGACCUUCCCUCCUUCACUGUCUAAAAUAUCCAACUCUUAUAGUUUCAAAUCCCCAUCUCUUAUUGUCUGUCUUAUAGAAACCACCCU
rnacentral:lncRNA from 1 species